ACCAUGUUCAAAUUACACCCCUUGACUCAGUUUCCGGCUGGUCAAGUGGUUUUGACCUGGUCAAAGCUGACUGGCAGCCUAGUCAGCAUGCCACCACACAUCCAUCCAACCUUAUCCCCAUCUCUCUCUCUCUGUUUCCUCACAGCCACGCACCCAGUACACCCCACCGCCGCCCGCGGCCACCACCUCCGCCGCCGCCGACCGGAGACCGGCGGCGCCGCCACACCACGACAGGCGAGCGGCCACGGCGAGUUGCCCCUAUGAGUUGGCGAGCGGCCACGGUGUGCUAUGCCUGCGAGCCGGUGAGCUCCCCGGUGAGCGGCGGCCACAGAGCUACAAUCGUCGCCGGGGGGCAUACGUUGUUGGCAAGAAAGGGAGGAGGCGACGGCGACGGCGGGGACCGGUGACGACGACGACGACCGGCGGCGAGGACAGCGACAGAGGAGACGCGCGGGGAGGUGCUACGACGCUUCGUCCAUGGCGGCGCGUCUGAAACUUUUUCUAAAAGAAGAAGAUGUUCGAGGGAGGAAGAAAGGAAUCAUACGGUUCCUGAUUUGUUUGAUCGUACGGUGCUGGUCUGACCGGCCUAAAUUUGGGCCGGCGCACCGACGCCUAGCACUCGCCAUUUAAGAAUGGUGGCACUAGAUGUCUAUAAACUGUGACCUUUAUUUAUCUCCUUAAGUAUUGUGUCACCCAGAA